ACAACCGUCAAACUAGCUCGGCGAGAAGUGCCACUCCAACUUCUCGCCGCGAUGGUUUGGCGGUUGUCCAAAACGUGGUUACCGUUUCUGCAACCUACCUGCACUACCAGAGCCUCGUUGAACCUAUGCAUGAAGGGUAGGCAUUGCAACGAUACUUCAUGAAAUUUUUUGUGGCUCAGCGAAACGCCAUUGCCCUUCAAGGUUUUACUCAAACAGGAGUGGUUUAUUGAAAACGUCGAAAUUUGAAAAUCUUUCUAAAAAAGGAAUUUCAAGGUCAGCGUGUAAGAAGGUCAGCGUGUAAGAAGAGACAGUUGGGAGUGCGAACGCUCUCCGGGUUAGUAUUUAACGGAAAAGGGACUGCCCAGGCAAAGAUCUCGAAAGUACUCGGUGCUUUUCUUCUGGCCAAAAGCAUUUGCUCGCGUUGCGACAGCGAGUGUUCUUGUUCGAGUGAUCUUUGCCUCAGUGCAUAUGACACC